GUACUUCGGUACAUCGGUGACAGGUGGUGCAUGGUUGUCGUCAGCUCGUGUCGUGAGAUGUUGGGUUAAGUCCCGCAACGAGCGCAACCCCUAUUGUUAGUUGCCAUCAUUCAGUUGGGCACUCUAGCGAGACUGCCGGUAAUAAACCGGAGGAAGGUGGGGAUGACGUCAAAUCAUCAUGCCCUUAUGACCUGGGCUACACACGUGCUACAAUGGUUGGUACAACGAGUUGCGAGUCGGUGACGGCGAGCUAAUCUCUUAAAGCCAAUCUCAGUUCGGAUUGUAGGCUGCAACUCGCCUACAUGAAGUCGGAAUCGCUAGUAAUCGCGGAUCAGCACGCCGCGGUGAAUACGUUCCCGGGCCUU
rnacentral:rRNA from 1 species